GAAGCGGCAACAGCUCAAAUUUGAAAUCUGACCCUUUGGGGUCCGAGUUGUAAUUUGCAGAGGGUGUUUCGGGCGCGGUGCCGGUUUAAGUCCUUUGGAACAGGGUGUCAUAGAGGGUGAGAACCCCGUAUGCGACCGGCCGCCAAACCCAUGUGAAACCCCUUCGACGAGUCGAGUUGUUUGGGAAUGCAGCUCAAAAUGGGUGGUAAAUUUCAUCUAAAGCUAAAUACUGGCCAGAGACCGAUAGCGCACAAGUAGAGUGAUCGAAAGAUGAAAAGCACUUUGGAAAGAGAGUCAAACAGCACGUGAAAUUGUUGAAAGGGAAGCGCUUGCGACCAGACCUGCUCGCGGGUGAUCAGCGGUGCUUUUCGCGCCGUGCACUCGUCCGCGAUCAGGCCAGCAUCGGUUCCGGCGGCCGGACAAAGGCUCGGAGAAUGUGGCUCCCUUCGGGGAGUGUUAUAGCUCCUUGUGCAACACGGUCAGCCGGGACCGAGGACCGCGGU
rnacentral:rRNA from 1 species